rnacentral:lncRNA from 1 species
AAUUCAUGUAUGUUUUGAAUCUUAAAGAAGCUGCCUGCAUCCUAAUGUUUCACUUCACCAGGAUUUUUGGUUUGUCCACGCAAGUCUUCACAAGAGGAUAUAAUAUUUGGAAUAAAAGUUUUAGUAAAGUACUUUUAUAAUUAGAAAAUUAAUAAGCAGUGGGAUUAUAUUUUUUUAAUCUGUGCUUAAAUUUAGUUCUGAAAUUAUUGAAAGCCUAUAUUAAAAAAAGAAAUUUAUAAAAAGUAUUUUUCCUCAUGGUUUUUAAAGAGAUUUAUUUUUACUGUGUGUAUUUUGUUAUUGCAAAAAAAAUACUAUUCAGAUAAACAGAUCUAAAAUUAUGGAGCAAAUUCAGAUUAGCAAGCAAGGCUAGAUCAAAUUCAAAGUGUUUUUUAGACUAGCAAGAAAAAUUGAUAGCACAAUUCACAGUCAUCAAAAUGCUAAGCUUUAAAAAAAUGCCAACUGAGUAGCCAGCCAUUCCAACAAAGUAAAAACAUUCUAAUAAGAUUGGAGUAGAUCUAGAUUCUGAUCACACAUGUUAUCAGUAACCAUUUGUGUAGUGUAAAUUAGAUUUCUGAUUAACUGCAUCUUACCCAACUGGAAUGAUAAAAAUUUUCACAGUAAGAAUUUCUACUGUAUGAUGAUACCUCUUAAUUACCUCUGGAAGAAGUUUAGCUGAGCAGUAGUUCUUGAACUGUUGAACCCUAGUUGUGUUGUGCAGGAAAAAAGAAUCUGGCAUUUAAAAAAAUUCAGUGUAGGGGUAUUAGUUUUCUACAAUUGAACUCAAAAUACCCAUCUUUAUUUUCAAUGGGGAAGAAAAGUAAUUACCCACCCUGUCCAUUGGACAUGCAAAUAAGUUGCUUAUAGACUUCAGGGGAUGGAAGAGUUAUCCUAUCAGAAAAGAAAAUAAGACAUAGGCCCUUUGAGAUGCCCGUAAUCUGGUACUCUGAUUCAGAUCUUUGAUUCAGGUUUUUAUAUAUGUGUACAGGAUAAACAAGAAACUUUUUUUUUUUUUCAGAAAAAAAUGUAAGUUUUAUUUUUAAAAAACUCUGCUUUAGCAGUGAGAGGAAAAGUGGAAUCAUUUAUCCCAACUACUAGUAAUUUGUUCAGAGCUUUUAAUAGCUUUGAAAACAGUCUGAAACUUUGGAAGGGUUAUUGUUGUUAAUUUAUAUUAUUUUAAAAUUAUUAUUAAUGUUCACACUAGCCAUUGUUGUGUUGUAUGAUUACCUAAAUGAUGUUUCAUAGACCUUGAAUGUGAGAUUUUUAAUGGGUUUCUAGUAUCUCCUAACAGAAAAAUGUAUAUUUUAUUAUCAGAGUGUUUUUAUAUUUUUUUCCACAGAUGUAAGAAAAUUUUUGCACAAGCCAAAUUUACUUGCUUUUGGACUUUAUCCUUAAACUAAUAGUUAUCGAGCAAAACACUUUAUUGAUAGAAAGCUAUUUUCUUUCCUAAGAGAUAAACUGAUUUCUGAUAUCAUGUUUUCUUUCUAAAGGGGAGCAUUUAUGUUGUUCUUCCUCAGUGCUUUUAUAUUGUUUAGGACUUCAAGUUCUCAGUCUUCUCUUUGUUCUCAAACCACCAGUUCCCAGCCAAGUUGACUUAGUUAUAUGUGCUAAUUUAUUUAUUUAUGUAUUGCCAAGUUAUUUUAGCAUACAUAGAGGAACUGGGAAUUUAAUUAUCUGCUUUCUGUAUGUGCUUUACUGUAAGUCCUGAAGUCAGGAAACUGCAUCUGUCUUAUUUUUUGCUAAACUUCUUAGUCAGAUGGCUGGAUACCAUAUCUGCAUUAAUCACCGGGGCUGCCGGAGUUGCACUCCAGGAGACAGCAUCACAUUGUAUGUGAAUGAUGCCCUUGGAGUUGUGUAACAAAGCCCUGUCUUCUAAAUAACAUGGGCAAGUUUCUUAAUCUUUCUAUACUUCAGCCUCCUCAUCUAUAAAGUAAAAAUAAUAAGUCUACAACUUUUUGCUUGUUAUGUGGGAUAUUUGUAAGGCACUUAGUGCCUGGCAUGAGUUAAACAUCCAGUAAAUGUUAGCUGUUGUUAUUUUCAUCAUCAAGUUCUCUAGCAAAGACCUUAGUACGUGCCAGGCACUGAAAAGAUUAUUAUUAAAUGAGUUAGUAAGUGAAACCUUAAACAAUAUAAGAAAUCAGGUGUUCAAUAUUUUUUCUUGUCUUCAAAUAGACAGCUUUCAAGGACUAAUAGGAAAUAUUAUCUAGAUUGCUUAUCAGUUCUUAGCUUUUGGACUAAAAUUUGUUAUCAGGUUUAUUCUAUAGAUUUUUCUGAUAUUCAGACUUCAGAAUACUGAAGAAAAGCCCAUAAAAACUUUUUCUUAGAUGGAGUUUGUUGUUAAAAAAUUGUGGGUUCCAAAUUAUGCAUUUUAAAGUCCCCAAAUUGCUCUAUAUAUCAACUAUAACACUAUUAGUAUGUUUUCUUAUCAUAAAGGACCAUUGAAAAUCAAAAUGCAUAGUUAAGUCAUUAAUUUGUGUUAAGAUUCUUACAAAGAAAUUAUAAUACUUAGUUUUCUCAGGUACCCACAUAGGUUUUUUGUUGUUGUUAGACAUUGAAAAUAAAACAAUUCACUUAGAGUAAUUCAGUCUCUUUUUCCACAGUAAUUACUACUUGUUUACUUCUAAGAGUUAAGAUCCAGCAAGAGGUUAAUGAGGAAGAAAGUAGAACUAUUACAAGCAGUCAGUAAAGAGAAUUUUUAGAGUGUAUAAAUUUUACUAUUCAAAUUCUUCAUUAUUUCUGAGAAAAAAAUAUUGAGACAUGGUAUUAGAUGUCUUUUUACUACUUUCUUACAUUAUAAUUAUAGGACAAUCACACUUGGGUAUGGGGAGCACUUGCAUAUCUACUUUAUAUCUCAGUGCAGUUUUAUCUAAAAGUUCCGUUAUAGCUAAAUGGCUACAUCUCCUCUGAGGGAAAAUAAAACUAAUGUGUUAUCUAAUAAGCUAAAAGCCAUGGAGUGCAUAAAAUAAAUUUUGUACAUACUGUUUUUAAAGAAACUUUUUAAAAAAGUUAAAUGGUUUGAAUUUUGGUUUAAGAUUUUAAGAGUACCUACCCUCUCAGGCAUAAAGUGAUCAUCCUUUUUGUCUUAUAAAGCACAAGUAUAUUUUAGACACUUCAUAAAUAAUAUCAUUAAAUGUUUUUCUCAUGGAGAAAAAUGAAGACUUAAACAAGAAAAUACGAAAAGAAAAAUUUGUGGCUAGAAAAAAAAACCCAAUUUAAGUAUUUUCAACACAUUUGAAAUAAUUAAAAUCUGCAGUAUCAUGAUAUGCAUUUUAUUCUUUCUUCCUAUCAAAUUAUUUGAAGUAAGAAACCUAGAGAAACUAGUUACUAUUUAUUAAAAUGUUUUCUUAU